AGCGUUGCUGUCCGGACAGAGCAAAAAAAACAAGGCAUCAGUAUUGUUGAGUAUUAGCUUGUACCUGGUUCGGAGGCUAAGUUUGCCGGAGAAGGCAGGGGUGAGCCACGGUGGCUGCCCGGCUGUGCACCGGCGCCGGAGUUUGGACCAAGACAAAGACAGGAGCUGUCCGCGGUGCUGAAUCGGCGGCGCCGUCGCCGGAGCAAGGGGGCUUCUGUAACCAGCCCUCUGCUCAUUUACUCCCCAUCCUUCUAGCUCCCCUUCGCUCUGUGACUCUUGCCUUCCCCUGAAUUUAUUUCCCUUUUGGGGGACUCACCUUAGAACCUGCGCCCUGUACACAGGUGUAUAUACAUAUAUCAAAGAACAAAACGAUUGAUUG